AGGACCCGAGAGCGACCUAUAAGGGUAGAGAGGAAGCGGUUAGGCAAAGAAAGAAAUCAUUGAAUGGCUGGAGGUAGGAACGGGCCAAGCCCAUUUGUGUGAUUGUGAGGACCUUCGAAACUGAAUCUACUGGCAGCCAGCAGGCGAGAUCUCAACGACUCUGUCUUCUUCUUCCUUUUGCAUCAAAUCCCUUUCUCUGUCUCCAUCUCGCUCUUGCUCCUCAAGAUUGACGAGAUGGAGAGUUUGCCCACCACCGCCAAACCCGAAAGGCGUCCUCGAUCCAAGCCUCUUCACGCCUCCAAACCCUCCAUUCUUCUGGCAUUCUUCUCUUGUCUUGCGUGGCUCUAUGUUGCUGGCAGGCUCUGGCAAGAUGCAGAAAAUAGGAAAAUACUUGCUAGUCUUUUACAGAAGAACGCAUCCCAGAGACCCGUGAUUUUGAGCGUUGAAGAUAAGCUGCAAGUCCUGGGUUGCAAAGAUUUGGAGAGAAGGAUUGCGGAAGUUGAGAUGGAUUUAACAUUAGCAAAGAGUCAAGGGUACCUGAAGAAUCAACUGCGACAAAGUGGAUCUUCUUCUGACCCUGGUCGUAAGCUCCUUGCGGUUAUCGGUGUUUAUACAGGAUUUGGAAGUCGACUAAGGCGGAAUGUAUUCAGAGGAUCUUGGAUGCCAAAAGGUGAUGCAUUGAAAAAGUUGGAGGAAAGAGGGGUGGUCAUACGCUUUGUUAUUGGUCGGAGCGCAAAUCGAGGUGAUAGCUUAGACCGCAAUAUUGACAAGGAAAAUGAUUCAACCAAGGACUUCUUGAUACUUGAAGGUCAUGAAGAAGCUGACGAAGAGUUACCUAAAAAGGCCAAGUUCUUUUUCAGUACAGCAGUUCAAAAUUGGGAUGCAGAAUUUUAUGUGAAAGUCGAUGACAACAUUGACCUUGAUCUUGAGGGUUUAAUUGGGCUUUUUGAACAUCGUCGUGGUCAAGAUGGUACUUACGUUGGAUGCAUGAAAUCUGGAGAUGUGAUUGCUGAAGAAGGAAAGCAGUGGUAUGAACCUGAAUGGUGGAAGUUUGGAGAUGAGAAAUCGUACUUCCGGCAUGCAUCUGGUGCGCUUAUUAUCCUCUCCAAGAAUUUGGCUCAGUAUAUUAAUAUUAACAGUGCAUCUUUGAAGACUUAUGCACAUGACGAUAUAUCAGUGGGGUCAUGGAUGAUUGGUCUCCAGGCUACUCAUAUAGAUGAUAAUCGACUGUGCUGCAGUAGUGUUAGACAAGACAAGGUGUGUUCCGUGGUUUAAUUGAUCCAGAAUAACCGAGAGCGUUAGUUUAUCUGGACAUUCAGCUAAUUUUGCGGAGCUUAGACAAUUCUUUUGCUACAGUUUAAUGUGCCUGAGUUUAUUUACCCUCCAGCUGAGCUGAUGCGGGGGAAUCUCGACGUGUUCACUAGAUUCCUCUUCUCGGAUGCUGAGGACUGGGUUUGCCAUGCGAGAUUGAGUGGAAUGUGGCCUAUAUGGAACCAACUAGUUAGUUCGAGUCCAAGAGAUGAAGUUUUCUGUUUCAAGUAUCAAACUUUUAAGAAUGUUAUCACUUUAUGGAAAACAUAAGCUGUUCAUAAUUUUCUUGUCCGAGUCCAAGAGAUCAUUGUUUCUUGUUCUUUCUUCUCUUAUGAAAAAAAAAAAUG